CAGUAGCCGCGGGAAUACGAAGGGGGCUAGCGUUGUUCGGAUUUACUGGGCGUAAAGCGCACGUAGGCGGACUUUUAAGUCAGGGGUGAAAUCCCGGGGCUCAACCCCGGAACUGCCUUUGAUACUGGAAGUCUUGAGUAUGGUAGAGGUGAGUGGAAUUCCGAGUGUAGAGGUGAAAUUCGUAGAUAUUCGGAGGAACACCAGUGGCGAAGGCGGCUCACUGGACCAUUACCGACGCUGAGGUGCGAAAGCGUGGGGAGCAAACAGGAUUAGAUACCCCCGUAGUCCCUGUCUCUUAUAC
rnacentral:rRNA from 1 species